UACGGAGGGUGCAAGCGUUAUCCGGAUUCACUGGGUUUAAAGGGUGCGUAGGCGGAUAAGUAAGUCAGUGGUGAAAUCUCCGGGCUUAACUCGGAAACUGCCGUUGAUACUAUUUAUCUCGAAUAUCAUGGAGGUAAGCGGAAUAUGUCAUGUAGCGGUGAAAUGCUUAGAUAUGACAUAGAACACCGAUAGCGAAGGCAGCUUACUACAUGUUAAUUGACGCUGAGGCACGAAAGCGUGGGGAGCAAACAGG
rnacentral:rRNA from 1 species